rnacentral:lncRNA from 1 species
ACACAGAAAGGGGAGUACUAAACACUGGGGUCUAUUGGGGGGAAAGGGGGAGAGCCAGGGGGAGGGGGAGGUGGGGAGGGUUAGCCUGGGGAGAAAUGCCAAAUGUGGGUGAAGGGGAGAAGGAAAGCAAAGCACACUGCCAUGUGUGUACCUACGCAACUGUCUUGCAUGCUCUGCUCAUGUACCCCAAAACCUAAAAUCCAAUAAAAAAAAAAAAAGAUUCUAUUUGAUCCACUAAAGGGAAUAAUAUAACAGAUUUUAUGUUUAAAUGUUACUAUUUGCCAUAUUCCAAAAAUCUCUUUUGAAAAUUCAAAAGUGAUGAUGAAAAACUUAGAUACCAACCUAAGAAUGUGCAAGAUGGUACAUAAACUUUUUAAUAUUCCUCUAGGAUGUUAUAAGAGCAAAAAUGUUUGCGACCACUGCUCUGUGAGGCUGAAUGUUUGAUCUCCUGUUCUGUGAGCUACGCCCAGGCCUCCUGCCAAACAGAGAGGAAGUUCAACUAUGAACGAGAUUACAAAAUCGUCUGAAGCUGUAACAGUGAAAACUACUUCAGGGAAGAAAAAGAAUAACAAAGGAAUCAAGAAGAAAAUUGAAGGUCUGAUGGAAGCUGGUCCUUGGUUAGUGAAGUUGCAUUUGCAGAUAAUGGCAUAG